UCUGGUUGAUCCUGCCAGUAGUUAUAUGCUUGUCUCAAAGAUUAAGCCAUGCAUGUCUAAGUACACACGAAUUAAAAGUGAAACCGCAAAAGGCUCAUUAUAUCAGUUAUGGUUCCUUAGAUCGUUAACAGUUACUUGGAUAACUGUGGUAAUUCUAGAGCUAAUACAUGCAAUAUAAACACGGACCUUUUGGAACGUGUGCUUUUAUUAGGCUAAAACCAAGCGAUCCCAGAUCGUCAUUAUGGUUGAACUCUAGAUAACUUGCAGAUCGUAUGGUCUUGUACCGACGACAGAUCUUUCAAAUGUCUGCCCUAUCAACUUUUGAUGGUAGUAUCUAGGACUACCAUGGUUGCUACGGGUAACGGGGAAUCAGGGUUCGAUUCCGGAGAGGGAGCCUGAGAAACGGCUACCACAUCUAAGGAAGGCAGCAGGCGCGUAAAUUACCCACUCCCAGCUCGGGGAGGUAGUGACGAAAAAUAACAAUACAGGACUCAUAUCCGAGGCCCUGUAAUUGGAAUGAGUACACUUUAAAUCCUUUAACAAGGACCCAUUGGAGGGCAAGUCUGGUGCCAGCAGCCGCGGUAAUUCNAGGUAAUUCCAGCUCUAAUAGCGUAUAUUUAAGUUGUUGCCGUUAAAACGUUCGUAGUUGAAUUUGUGCUUCAUACGGGUAGUACAACUAUAAUUGUGGUAUGUACAUUACCUUAUGUAUGUAAGCGUAUUACCGGUGGAGUUCUUAUAUGUGUUAAAUACUUGUAUUUUUCAUAUAUUCCUCCUAUUUAAACCUGCUUCAGUGCUCUUCAUCGAGUGUUGUUGUGGGCCGGUACAAUUACUUUGAACAAAUUAGAGUGCUUAAAGCAGGCUCAAAAUGCCUGAAUAUUCUGUGCAUGGAAUAAUGAAAUAAGACCUCUGUUCUGCUUUCAUUGGUUUUCAGAUCAAGAGGUAAUGAUUAAUAGAAGCAGUUUGGGGGCAUUAGUAUUACGACGCGAGAGGUGAAAUUCUUGGACCGUCGUAAGACUAACUUAAGCGAAAGCAUUUGCCAAAGAUGUUUUCAUUAAUCAAGAACGAAAGUUAGAGGUUCGAAGGCGAUCAGAUACCGCCCUAGUUCUAACCAUAAACGAUGCCAGCUAGCAAUUGGGUGUAGCUACUAUUAUGGCUCUCUCAGUCGCUUCCCGGGAAACCAAAGCUUUUGGGCUCCGGGGGAAGUAUGGUUGCAAAGCUGAAACUUAAAGGAAUUGACGGAAAGGCACCACCAGGAGUGGAGCACGACUCAACACGGGAAAACUUCCAUUCUGUUUGGAAUCUUUCCGACUGCAAAUGAUGCAGAUGCAAAGAACAAUUCGAAGUCGAAAACUG
rnacentral:rRNA from 1 species